AACGAACGCUGGCGGCGUGCCUAACACAUGCAAGUCGAACGAGAAACUCCCGCUUCGGUGGGGGAAGUAAAGUGGCGCACGGGUGAGUAACGCGUGGGUAACCUACCCCUGAAUCCGGAAUAACACCGUGAAAACGGCGCUAAUACCGGAUGCUGUCCCAAGGGCUGUGGCCUUUGGGAUGAAAGGUGACCUCUUCAUGAAAGUUGCCGUUGAGGGAUGGGCCCGCGUACCAUUAGCUAGUUGGUAGGGUAAAGGCCUACCAAGGCGACGAUGGUUAGCUGGUCUGAGAGGAUGGCCAGCCACACUGGAACUGAAACACGGUCCAGACUCCUACGGGAGGCUG
rnacentral:rRNA from 1 species